AUUGAACGCUGGCGGCAUGCCUUACACAUGCAAGUCGAACGGCAGCACGGGGCAACCUGGUGGCGAGUGGCGAACGGGUGAGUAAUGCAUCGGAACGUACCUUUCAGUGGGGGAUAACGUAGCGAAAGUUACGCUAAUACCGCAUAUUCUGUGAGCAGGAAAGCAGGGGAUCGCAAGACCUUGCGCUGAUUGAGCGGCCGAUGUCAGAUUAGCUAGUUGGUGAGGUAAAGGCUCACCAAGGCGACGAUCUGUAGCGGGUCUGAGAGGAUGAUCCGCCACACUGGAACUGAGACACGGUCCAGACUCCUACGGGAGGCAGCAGUGGGGAAUUUUGGACAAUGGGGGCAACCCUGAUCCAGCCAUGCCGCGUGAGUGAAGAAGGCCUUCGGGUUGUAAAGCUCUUUCGGCCGGGAAGAAAUCGCACGGGCUAAUACCCUGUGUGGAUGACGGUACCGGAAUAAGAAGCACCGGCUAACUACGUGCCAGCCGCCGCCGUAACAC
rnacentral:rRNA from 1 species